rnacentral:rRNA from 1 species
GGUAGCCGGCCUGAGAGGGCGACCGGCCACACUGGGACUGAAACACGGCCCAGACUCCUACGGGAGGCAGCAGUGGGGAAUAUUGCACAAUGGGCGCAAGCCUGAUGCAGCGACGCCGCGUGAGGGAUGACGGCCUUCGGGUUGUAAACCUCUUUCAGCAGGGAAGAAGCGCAAGUGACGGUACCUGCAGAAGAAGCGCCGGCUAACUACGUGCCAGCAGCCGCGGUAAUACGUAGGGCGCGAGCGUUGUCCGGAAUUAUUGGGCGUAAAGAGCUCGUAGGCGGCUUGUCGCGUCGGUUGUGAAAGCCCGGGGCUUAACCCCGGGUCUGCAGUCGAUACGGGCAGGCUAGAGUUCGGUAGGGGAGAUCGGAAUUCCUGGUGUAGCGGUGAAAUGCGCAGAUAUCAGGAGGAACACCGGUGGCGAAGGCGGAUCUCUGGGCCGAUACUGACGCUGAGGAGCGAAAGCGUGGGGAGCGAACAGGAUUAGAUACCCUGGUAGUCCACGCCGUAAACGGUGGGCACUAGGUGUGGGCGACAUUCCACGUCGUCCGUGCCGCAGCUAACGCAUUAAGUGCCCCGCCUGGGGAGUACGGCCGCAAGGCUAAAACUCAAAGGAAUUGACGGGGGCCCGCACAAGCGGCGGAGCAUGUGGCUUAUUUCGACGCAACGCGAGAGAACCUUACCAACGCUUGACAUACACC